UACGUAGGGUGCGAGCGUUGUCCGGAAUUAUUGGGCGUAAAGGGCUCGUAGGCGGUUUGUCGCGUCGGGGAGUGAAAACUCAGGGCUUAACCCUGAGCCUGCUUCCGAUACGGGCAGACUAGAGGUAUGCAGGGGGAGAACGGAAUUCCUGGUGUAGCGGUGAAAUGCGCAGAUAUCAGGAGGAACACCGGUGGCGAAGGCGGUUCUCUGGGCCGAUACUGACGCUGAGGAGCGAAAGCGUGGGGAGCGAACAGG
rnacentral:rRNA from 1 species